rnacentral:rRNA from 1 species
AACUUAAGCAUAUCAAUAAGCGGAGGAAAAGAAACCAACAGGGAUUGCCUUAGUAACGGCGAGUGAAGCGGCAACAGCUCAAAUUUGAAAUCUGGCGUCUUUGGCGUCCGAGUUGUAAUUUGCAGAGGAUGCUUCGGCGUUGGCGCCGCCCAAAGUUCCUUGGAACGGGACGUCGCAGAGGGUGAGAGCCCCGUGUUCGGGCGGAUGCCUUCGCCGUGUGAAGCUCCUUCGACGAGUCGAGUUGUUUGGGAAUGCAGCUCAAAACGGGAGGUAAAUUUCUUCCAAAGCUAAAUACCGGCCGGAGACCGAUAGUGCACAAGUAGAGUGAUCGAAAGAUGAAAAGCACUUUGGAAAGAGAGUCAAACAGCGCGUGAAAUUGUUAAAAGGGAAGCGCUUGCGGUCAGAACUUGGCCGCCGUUGCUCGGGGAGGUCUUGCGCCUCCCUCGCUCUUCGGCGGCUGGGCCAGCAUCGGUUCGGGCGGCUCGAGAAAGGUCGCGGGAAUGUAGCUCCCUCCGGGGAGUGUUAUAGCCCGCGGCGCAAUAGGGCCCGCCUGGACCGAGGUCUGCGCAUUUGCUCGGAUGCUGGCGUAAUGGCCCCAAGCGGCCCGUCUUGAAACACGGACCAAGG